GCGCGGGUGCCAGGGAGGCCGGCAGGGGCGUCCGCGGUCGCUGCUCACCUGCGCUCCCCGCUGCCCGGCCCAGCCCGCCUCGCCACCGAGUCUGGAAGCCCACACUCACCCCUUUACCCGGGAAACGCGGCCGGAGCCGGCGGCGGGUCGGGAGUCCGAGAUGGUAGAUCCCCCUCCAGGCGCCUCGCUGACAUUUUGUCCCGGACGGAAAACCUCCGCGCGUGCCCCUUAAAGACACAGCGCUGCAUUCACACGUCUGCGGGGAAAGGGGGGCCGUCACGUGUGGCCUUCGCCCGAAAGCGGUAGGGGAGUCGCUCUGAAACCGCCAAGGAUCGCGAGCGACAGAUUUGUGUUGGCCAGGGUUUUAAGAUGACGCAAUAGCUGAGUGUGGUUGAAAUGUAACUAUUGUUUUACAACUUUGCAUUAACCUUCCAAGACCUGAAUUCCCGGGCCUGAGUCUCAGAGCGCGGUUUGCAUCUUUGCAGGCUGUAGGCGCAUGAUGUCACAAGUUAUUGGAAGAAAUCCCUCCAACCUAGGUUGGGACAGAUGAAGGCGGCGCUUAUUGGUGUUCACCAAAACACCAGCAUGGUGUACCAGCUUUGGCUAGAUGAUGCUCAGAAGAAUCAGGUCACACAUGGACUUGAAGGAUGGAAAACACAGAUCCUGGUGCCGAACAUGAGGACAGGGCAGGCCGAAGGAGAAAGUGGAAGGAGGGGAGCUUCUCUCUCAGCCUCAUCCUUCUGGGCCUGGAUGCUGGAGAGUCAUGAGGUGCUUCAGAGUACUCUGGGUGAGGAGGGAAAGAUGGUGCCCACCACAUGGAGGCCAGCCUAGGUCUUGUAUGAAACCUGUGAGGCCAGCAGGAGCCAGGCCGUGGCCUGCUGACUGCAUCUGCCAGAUGACUACCAAUGUGUGAGUAAACCCAUUCUCAAGCCCAAGAGAACCUCUCAGCUGAACCAGGCCCAAGUUGCUCACCCACUGAACUGCCAGUUAAAUAAAUGGUGGUUGUUUUAAUCCACUAAAUGCUGGGAUGGUUUGUUAUACAGCAGUAGGUAUCAAUACAGUGUACUUGUCAAUCUAGGAAUUCCUGUCUUGUCAAAUCUGAGAAAAUUCUCGGUCACUGUCACUUCAAAUAUUACUUCUUUCCCAUUUUCUAUUCACUCAUUCCAAAACUCCUAGUGGAUGUCUUUUCUGUCAUUUCUGGUUCUGUCUUUUGUGAUCUUAAACUUUCAUUCAUUGUUUUUCCAUUUUUACUUCCGUGUUACAUUUUGAGUCAUUUCCUUAGUUCCAGUUUGCUUAUUUUCUAUUCAACCAUUAAAUAUUUCUAUUUAGUUUUAAGUUUCAGUGGCUAUAAGUUUCAUUUAUAAAAGAACUAUUUGGUUAUUUUCUAAAUCUGCAUUUUGUUUUCACAUGUUUUUCUGUUUUUUAAUUUGUAUUUUCCUUUGCCCUUGUAAAUCAUUUAAAAUGUACUUAUUUUAUAAUCAUCUGUGGCUUGAUCUGUUUCUUUACUUCUUGGGCAUUACUUUUUCUGUUAAUUUCAUGAUCUGACCCUCAAGGUGGUUUCCUCCUAUGGUUUGUAAUUUUUAUUAUGAGCUUAUUUUCAGCAGGGAUUUCUCCCCUCUGGUGAAGAUCUGUAUGCCUUGGGUAAUGUGAUUGUCACUUCACUAUGCCUGCAAGUUUGCUUCUGAUGGCAUCCUACCGAUAUCACCAACUCUCAACCAGCUCUAAUGUUUCUUGGUAUUUCUGCCCACAGUGAAAAUUCAGAGCUCACUUCAAUGCAUGGCAUGGGCUUGGCUUCAAGUUUUUCUGUAUGACCUUUUUUUAAAUUUAUUUUUAUUUUUUUAAACCUAUAGCCCAAGGACACGGGAGCUUUUUUUCCUGAUUUGUUUUUGCCAACACUGUAGCCCUCAGGAACUCAGAUUUUGCAAAGUGCUCAAUUCCAGUUGCCUUCCUUACUCACACCAGAGACAAUAUUUUAUUGGCCUGCAAGGGUGUUAAAAUCCCAAGGGUGUUAAAAUCCCCAGAUCUCCAGGGCCUAUCAUUGGUCCAAACCCUGCAGAGGCUACAGUGACAUUAGCCCCUACUUACUGCCCAGCCUCUGAGCUCCCUCUUUGUUUCUAGAAUCUGGGGAUUUCCCUUUCUCUCUGUCUAGAGAUUGUUGUGCUGGACCCCUAUUGACUCCAAUAGGAAUGGCACCAGGUUCAAGAGGCCAAAGAAGAGACCUGGAGCCAGCAAAUGAGACAUAAGAUUUGAUUUGGGGGAACUUAUGUACAGGGAUGGACUAGUGGCAGUGGGCUGGAUAAGAGAACCACAACUGCUUUCCAAAAGCCUGCAGUUUAUACAGCACCUUCACUCAGCACCCUCUCUCCAGCAACAUCCACAUGGCAACCCCCAUUUCCUAGGCUAAGUUAUUGCUGUCAGAUGUGUUUGCCAUACAGGCUGCUGUACAGAGUAUGCUUAAGUUAUUGCUGUCAGGUACAUCCACCGUAUAUAUACAUACACAUGUACGUAUAUAUACACAUACAUGUAUGUGUGUGUGUACAUAUUUGUACUCAUAUACAUGUGUAUAUAUAGAUAUAUAAAAAAAUUUUCUCUGUGUUUCCCUGUAACAGUAACUGAAGAGGGAAUUCUUCUAUAUAAUCUCAGUCCACUAUAUUGCUAGAAGUUCUCUUCUCUAUACUUUUGAGAUAUGAAUUUUACCUUUCAAUAUUCUAAAAUUAUAACAAAGCUAUAAAUUUUGGGAAUUGGUAUAUGUUUGUUUUUAGAAAAAUUGUUAGAAACAUAAUAGCAAUGGGAUGCUUUAACAUGCUACCUUGAACCUUUACCAAAUCAAGAGAGUAAAAAUUAAGCACAAAAGAGGGAUCUAAUACUAUAAACAAGGUAGAUUUAAUACAUAUGUAUCAAACAUAGUAACCUAGAAGCAAUGAAUAUACAUUUUCUGGUGCUCAUUUAACAUUAACGACCUUCAAGAAGGCUUUAAACAGCAACAGAUAGAGUUGAGUUGCUUUGGCCUAUUGCUAAAGGCAUCUAACCCACCUGCUUUGUGGGAGGUCAUCUGCUUUGAAUCUCAACUGUAUCCAAGUCAGAUUUAAACUCUAUGGGGCAUUGGAAUUGUCCUCUGAAUCAUCUCCAACUCUGCAGGAUACAUAAUAGCACCACUUUGUUGUUCUGGAAUUUAAAGACAGGGUCUUAUUCAACUUUGGCUAUUUUUGUGCAGUCCAUGGAUCCUUGAAACAGGACAUUCUACUUUACCAAUAUCUGACUCAUAGAAGACCUAUCUAUAUACCUACCAGGUGGCUACUACCCAGUAACUCCUACCGCCAAUACCAUGACAUUUGUUUUGAAAACCUUAGCUUAUUGCAAUAUUGCUUAUAAUUAUGAAACCUUAGAAACAACUGAAAUGCCUAUCAAAGAGAGAAUUUAUAAAUAAAAUGUAACAUAUUCACGUUCUAUUUUGAUAUGAAUUACCAUAAUAUUCUAUUAGGAUAUGAAUUGUUAUAAUGGCCAUUAGAAGGAAUGGAUUGUUCCCAUAUAUAACAUAAUAUAUCCAUGUAUAAAGUAUCUAUAUAAUACCAACACGUAACAUAAUGUAAAGAAAAGAGAUUCAUGGAAUAAAAUGUGCAUGUCAUUGAUAUAAAUUUUAAAAACACAGAAAUAAUACAUUAUAUUAAGAC
ensembl:lncRNA ZBED3-AS1 ZBED3 antisense RNA 1